rnacentral:sRNA from 1 species
UCCUGUCACUGCCUUUCAGUUAAGUCGCACGCACUAAAGUUUGGCAAAUGCUCCAGGAACUCUCCUCGGUGUCAGUCUACCUAUUCAAUUACGCUGGCUAGUUCAGCGCAGGUCUAAACAGAAGAACGUUGAUGACUCCAUUGUUACAGCAAAUCGAACAUGGAGGAACGACCACAAUGCUGGCAUCAAACCUACGCACACGGGCACCUUCCCUUGCCCAAACACUGGCUCAAUAGUGUCACCUAGGGAAUUGUCAUCCCAUUCUCCUGAAGAGCAAGCUGGGGUUCAUCAAGGUCCUGUUACUCGACCCAGUUCUUUGUAUAAACAACGGAAUUCUGACAGAAACUGUAGACACCGAAAGCUGUGCUUUCCCCCGCUGCCUGCUCCGGUGCUGCCUGUUCCUGUCUAGUGAUGGAGUCGGGACGGGAAGCCAAGGUCGGGUCAGUGUCCACACAUUUCUGAAGUCACCUCUAAGCCUCUAAGUUUUCCCAGUGAGCAACAACACCGUUAGAGACUAAGUGAGACAAGAACUUGGCAUGUUGUGACUGCAAAGCAAGAAGCCAACAUCUGUGGAGAAACCAGCAGUAAACGAAAGUGCUACAGUUAAAUGAUUUCCAACUGCAUACGCAAGUGUGGUAUCACGGGUACUUCAUGUGAAAAAACUGUUAUAAACAGAAAGGUACACUAGAGAGAAUCCCCACGAAACAAAGCUGUACUCUGAUAUUUAAAAUCCUGUAUGCUUAUCUGUCGAGAACAGAAGUUACUCUGAAAUUUAUGUGCGAGGUCUUUUGAAAUUAAACUAAAUGCCUACAUCUCCUUUUUAUUAAUAUUGGAUGAGUCAUUAGGAUCAAUAUCCAGAUGGCUCUCAUUUAGUAAAAGGCUGCCUUAUGCCAGUGAUUUGGUUUACUGUAAAAAAUCAAGGAGGAGAUGUUUGUAUCCAUUCUCAGCCACAGAAAUGAGUAAAUUAGGGUAAGUUAAGGUCAGAGGGAAGAAAUGUAAGCUUUCCUUUCACGUCUUCCCUACAGGCACUAUCUGAGUUGCAACCCUAAUAAAUGUUUUGACUUGUUUACUUUUCACUUGAUUUCACAUUCUGUUUGGAAGAAGUUGGUUUCGACCUCACAAACAUCGUGACAAUUGCCAUCAGACUCACAGAUAAGAGCUGCCAUUUUCAACAUUACACAGGGAUGCUUACCCCAGCCAGCCAUGACCUGCAAAUCCACAAGCCUAGUUCCAGACCUGUGACCUCCCUUGCCUAGCCUAACUCUAGACCCCUGAUUUUGGAGCCACCCCUCCCUGGUUCAACUGAGCAGCUCCUCUCCUACCUAUCUUUGACCUAACCCAGGCUAUGCAUUUCUACUGGCCCAGACUAAGGCAGGCCAGAUUAGAACAUCAGGCACACAACCAAAGAAAGAAGUCCAAAUCAAACCUAUGAGUCAGGUAGAAGUGUUCUCUAGUCCUACUUAUAUAAACCCCAAGAAACAGAAUUUACAAGAACAAUCAUCAACUUUAUCAAAGAAUUCAAGGAAUUUAGAGAAGAC